CUAUAUGCAGUCGACGGUAGCAUGGGAGCUUGCUCUUGGGUGACGAGUGGGACAGGGGUGAGUCAUGUGUGGGAAACUGCCCGAUGAAUGGGGAUACCUCCUGGAAACGGGGCUUAAUCCCGCUGGUUGUUUGAGACCAAUGUGGGGGACCUUCAGGCCUCACACCAUCCCAUGUGCCCAUAUGGGAUUAGCUAGUUAGUGGGGUAAUGGCUCACCUAGGCAACAAUCCCUCGAUGGUCUGACAAGAUGACCAGGGUGACUGGAACUGAGAGACUGUCCAGACUCCUACGGGAGGCCGGGAGGGGGAAUAUUGGAAUCUUCCCGCAUGCCUGAUGCACUCAUGCCGCGUGUAUGAAGAAGGCCUUCAGGUUGUAAAAUACUUUCACUCUGGAGGAAGGGAAGAAGGAUAAUAACCGCAAUGAUUGACGUUACUCGCAGAACAAGCACCGGCUAACUCCGUGCCCUCCGCCGCGGCAAUACGGAGGGUGCAAGCGUUAAUCGGAAUUACUGGAAUUAUAGCGCACGCAGGCCUCCUGUCAAGUUUCAUGUGAAAUCCCCGGAAUCCACCUGGUAACUGCAUUCGAAACUGGGGAGCUUGAGUCUUGUGAGGGGGGUAGAAUUCCAGGUGUUCCGCUGAAAUGCGUGAGAUCUGGAAGAUUACCGAGUGGCAACAGCGGCCCCCUGGACUCUCACUGACUGUUCAUGUGCGAGAGCGAGGGGAGCAAACAGGAUUAGAUACCCUGGUUACCCACGCCGUACACGAUGUCGACUUAUGAGGUUGUGCCCUUGAGGAGUGGCUUCCCGAUCUAACGCGUUAAGACGACCGCCUGGCGAGUACUGGCGCAAGGUUAAAACUCAAAUGAAAUUCACAGGGGUUCGCACGAGGCCCGGAGCAUGUGGUUUAUUGUAUUCUAAUCCGAAGAACCUCACUACAUCUUGACAUCCUCAGAACUUCUCUGAGAUUCUUUAGUGACUUUCGGAACUCUUGAGACAGGUAGAUUGCAUGCUG
rnacentral:rRNA from 1 species